GGGAAACUGGGUUUAAUACCGUAUACGCCCUUCGGGGGAAAGAAUUUCGGUGAGGGAUCGGCCCGCGUUAGAUUAGUUAGUUGGUGGGGUAAUGGCCUACCAAGACUACGAUCUAUAGCUGGUUUGAGAGGAUGAUCAGCAACACUGGGACUGAGACACGGCCCAGACUCCUACGGGAGGCAGCAGUGGGGAAUCUUAGACAAUGGGGGCAACCCUGAUCUAGCGAUGCCGCGUGAGUGAUGAAGGCCUUAGGGUCGUAAAGCUCUUUCGCCUGUGAUGAUAAUGACAGUAGCAGGUAAAGAAACCCCGGCUAACUCCGUGCCAGCAGCCGCGGUAAUACGGAGGGGGUUAGCGUUGUUCGGAAUUACUGGGCGUAAAGCGCACGUAGGCGGAUUAGUCAGUCAGAGGUGAAAUCCCAGGGCUCAACCCUGGAACUGCCUUUGAUACUGCUAGUCUUGAGUUCGAGAGAGGUAAGUGGAAUUCCGAGUGUAGAGGUGAAAUUCGUAGAUAUUCGGAGGAACACCAGUGGCGAAGGCGGCUUACUGGCUCGAUACUGACGCUGAGGUGCGAAAGUGUGGGGAGCAAACAGGAUUAGAUACCCUGGUAGUCCACACCGUAAACGAUGAAUGCCAGUCGUCGGGUAGCAUGCUAUUC
rnacentral:rRNA from 1 species